CCUACGGGAGGCAGCAGUGAGGAAUAUUGGUCAAUGGGCGCAAGCCUGAACCAGCCAUCCCGCGUGCAGGAAGACGGCCCUAUGGGUUGUAAACUGCUUUUCCAGGGGGUGAAACUCCCGUACGAGUACGGGACUGACGGUACCUUGGGAAUAAGCAUCGGCUAACUCCGUGCCAGCAGCCGCGGUAAUACGGAGGAUGCGAGCGUUAUCCGGAUUUAUUGGGUUUAAAGGGUGCGUAGGCGGAUUAAUAAGUCAGUGGUGAAAUCCUGCAGCUUAACUGUGGAACUGCCAUUGAUACUGUUAGUCUUGAGUAUGGUCAAGGUAGGCGGAAUGUGUAAUGUAGCGGUGAAAUGCUUAGAUAUUACACAGAACACCGAUUGCGAAGGCAGCAUACUGGGCCAUUACUGACGCUGAGGCACGAAAGCGUGGGGAUCAAACAAGAUUAGAUACCCUGGUAGUCCACGCCGUAAACGAUAAUUACUCGCUGUUGGCGAUACACUGUCAGCGGCUAAGCAAAAGCAAUAAGUAAUCCACCUGGGGAGUACGGCCGCAAGGUUGAAACUCAAAUGAAUUGACGG
rnacentral:rRNA from 1 species